rnacentral:lncRNA from 1 species
AUUAAAAUAAAAACAAAGUUUCAGUCUCUUCACAAGAAGUAAUUUAUAUUCUCUGAAUUUUUUCAGCCACAACAACUGGAUUCUCUUUUCUGAUUUUUGCUGCAGCUUCUGCUUUGUAAUCAUACGGACAGUUGUGCUUGUCAGAGUUAACGGUGAAGUCCACAAAACAAAUUUCCACAUCGGCAGUCAAACCUGACUGCAUAGACAAGGCACGAGGCCAGUUUUCCC